GCUGGGGAGGAACCCAGGCUGGGGGAGAAGUUAAAGCCAGAGGAGGGGCAGGAAUGUCUGAGGUGGCAACACUUCUCUUCAGCCAGACAGCACUGGCCAGUUUGGAGUCUGUCCAUCCUGCAGGCCACAAGCUCUGGAUGAGGAACUUGAGGCAAGUCACCAGCCCCUGAUCAUUUCGCCUAAAAGAGCAAGGACUAGAGUUCCUGACCUCCAGGCCAGUCCCUGAUCCCUGACCUAAUGUUAUCGCGGAAUGAUGAGGCUGCCAGUGCCCAGCAGUGAGGGACCUGACCUCAGGGGCAGAGACAAGAGAGGCACCAAGGAGGAUCCAAGAGCUGACUAUGCCUGCAUUGCUGAGAACAAACCCACCUGAGCACCCCAGACACCUUCCUCAACCCAGGCGGGUGGACAGGGUCCCCCUGUGGUCCAGCCAGUAAAAACCAUGGUCCCCCCACUUCUGUGUCUCAGUCCUCUCAGUCCAUCUCGAGCCUCCGUUCAAAUUGAUCAUCAUCAAAACUUAUGUGGCUUUUUGACCUUUGAAUAGGGAAUUUUUUAAAUUUUUUAAAAAUUAAAAUAAAAAAAACACAUGGCUCACCCUUCCACCCA
rnacentral:lncRNA from 10 species